CAUUCCAGAUGUGUUGAGGAUUGGUGACUUGGUAUCUCUCAUUCAUAGGGUCAUAAUAAGUUGAAGUCUUAUGCAGACUCAAAAGGAAAUGGAAGUGCCAAAUUCAAGCGCUGUUCUUUUAUCCUGAUGUGUAUGUAAAUACAGAAGUAGCUUCCUGUUUAAAUUAGAAUUCAGCUCCUCUUGACCCAGCGACACCCAAUCUGGUGUGUCUCUAACCACUUUGCAGUCAAUCCCUUGCAAGUCCACAGAAAGAAAGAAAAAGAUGUUUUGGCUUCAGUUUGCUUUCUUUUUAACCACCUUUAGAGGUAUCCCAUCAGAGGCCCAACUGGUGGAAUCUGGAGGAGGUGUAAGAAGGCCUGGUGAAUCCCUCCAGCUUUCUUGUCUUGCCUCUGGAAUUACUUUCAGCAGCUAUGGAAUGAACUGGGUGAGGCAAGCUCCAGCAAAAGGCUUGGAAUGGGUGGCAUAUAUUAGCUCAAGCUCGGGUACCAUUUACUAUUUGGACCAAGUGAAGGGACGAUUCACAAUCUCCAGAGACAACUCAAAAAAUCUGCUCUAUUUGCAAAUGAACAACCUGAAACCCGAGGACAGUGCCGUUUAUUACUGUGCAAGAGACACAGUGAGCAAAGUGAACCAGAAGCUCUCUAAAAACUCUCUUCUAGCACUAGCAGCUGUCCAAAUUCAUUCAAGUGAACUUGGAGAGCUUCCACUGACCUGCACCAUGGACAUAGCAGACCAAUGGUGGAUGUCUUGGCUUCGACAAAAACCUGGGCAGACUCUCGAGUGGCUGAUCAGCUACUGGAAACCUUCUGUCACCAAUUAUUACUCUCCCACCAUCCGGGGUCACUUCACAGCCUCAAAAGAGGGCUCAGAUUUCUACUUGGAAAUGAAGAACUUGAGGGAAGAGGACACCGCUUUGUAUUACUGCACAAGGAGGGAGGCACUGUGAAUAACUCUACAGCCAAAAGGUCCAGGAAGGAACCACAAGUGCCAUGAUGCCUUUGGACCACCAGGAGGCAUUGAUGGAACAUAACUGUAUUGUAACCUUCAGAUAGAACAUUUCUUCUCUUGAAGAGCAUAUAAUAAUGAGCUUCAGGCUGAUUGCAAUUUAGUCUGACAAAUGUUCUCUCUCCAAAUUUUAAAUGAAAAAAAUCACCUUAUCUUGG